rnacentral:rRNA from 1 species
GAUGAACGCUGGCGGCGUGCCUAAUACAUGCAAGUCGAGCGAAUGGAUUAAGAGCUUGCUCUUAUGAAGUUAGCGGCGGACGGGUGAGUAACACGUGGGUAACCUGCCCAUAAGACUGGGAUAACUCCGGGAAACCGGGGCUAAUACCGGAUAACAUUUUGAACCGCAUGGUUCGAAAUUGAAAGGCGGCUUCGGCUGUCACUUAUGGAUGGACCCGCGUCGCAUUAGCUAGUUGGUGAGGUAACGGCUCACCAAGGCAACGAUGCGUAGCCGGCCUGAGGGGGUGAUCGGGCACACUGGGACAGAGACACGGCCCAGACUCCUACGGGAGGCAGCAGUAGGGAAUCUUCCGCAAUGGACGAAAGUCUGACGGAGCAACGCCGCGUGAGUGAUGAAGGCUUUCGGGUCGUAAAACUCUGUUGUUAGGGAAGAACAAGUGCUAGUUGAAUAAGCUGGCACCUUGACGGUACCUAACCAGAAAGCCACGGCUAACUACGUGCCAGCCGCCGCGGUAA